AUGGUUAAACCCCAUGGCUCACUUGCCCCGCUUCUAAAGGAUAACAGCUCAUCCGUUGGUCUUAGGAACCAAAAACUCUUGGUGCAAAUCCAAGUAGUAGCUAUGCACCCAGCUUCACUUGCAAUAACAUCAAGCUUAAUUAUUAUUUUUGCUGUCCUCGCAUACCCCAUUCUGACAACCCUUUCUCCCCUCCCUCAAAACCAAAACUGGGCACUCUCCCACGUAAAGACAGCAGUAAAACUAGCCUUCUUCAUCAGCUUACUUCCCCUAUUCCUAUUCCUAAACGAAGGCCUAGAAGUAAUUAUCACCAACUGAAACUGAAUAAAUAUUGCCACCUUUGACAUAAACAUCAGCCUUAAAUUUGACCACUACUCAAUUAUCUUUACCCCAGUCGCACUAUACGUGACCUGGUCUAUCCUGGAAUUUGCAUCAUGAUACAUACACGCAGACCCUAAUAUAAAUCGCUUCUUCAAGUACCUUUUAAUCUUCCUAAUCGCAAUAAUCAUCCUAGUUACAGCAAACAACAUAUUCCAACUCUUCAUCGGCUGAGAAGGUGUGGGAAUCAUAUCAUUUCUCCUCAUCGGCUGAUGGCACGGCCGAGCCGACGCAAACACCGCAGCUUUACAAGCAGUUCUCUACAAUCGCCUAGGAGACAUCGGACUGAUCUUCACCAUAGCAUGAAUCGCAAUAAACCUCAACUCAUGAGAAAUACAACAAAUAUUUGCCUCUGCCAAAGACAUAGACCUCACCCUCCCCCUACUAGGACUCGUCAUUGCUGCAACCGGUAAAUCCGCUCAAUUUGGACUCCAUCCAUGGCUCCCCUCCGCCAUGGAGGGUCCCACACCAGUCUCUGCCCUACUACAUUCAAGCACAAUGGUUGUGGCAGGUAUCUUCCUCUUAGUCCGAAUAAGUCCCUUAAUAGAAAACAACCAGACUGCCCUCACCACCUGUCUCUGCCUAGGCGCCCUAACUACCCUCUUCACUGCCACCUGUGCCCUUACCCAAAAUGAUAUCAAGAAAAUCGUUGCCUUCUCCACCUCUAGCCAACUAGGUCUAAUAAUAGUUACCAUUGGACUUAACCAACCACAAUUAGCCUUCCUACACAUUUGUACUCAUGCAUUCUUCAAGGCAAUACUCUUCCUAUGUUCAGGCUCAAUUAUCCACAGCUUAAAUGACGAACAAGACAUCCGAAAAAUAGGAGGCAUGCAUUGCCUCACCCCUUCACCUCUUCAUGCUUAACCAUCGGAAGCCUAGCCCUCACGGGCACCCCCUUUCUAGCCGGAUUUUUCUCCAAAGACGCCAUCAUCGAAGCACUCAACACAUCCUACCUUAACGCCUGAGCCCUUGUCUUAACCCUACUAGCAACUUCAUUCACAGCCAUCUAUAGCCUACGUGUUAUCUACUUUGUGUCAAUAGGACACCCCCGCUUUAACUCCCUCUCCCCUAUCAACGAAAACAACCCUGCGGUAAUCAACCCCAUCAAACGACUAGCGUGAGGAAGUAUCAUCGCCGGCUUGCUGAUUUCCUCCAACAUUAUUCCAACCAAAACGCCCGUCAUAUCUAUGCCUCCAAUACUAAAACUGGCCGCUCUAACAGUAACAGUCCUAGGACUUCUAAUAGCCCUAGAACUAGCAACCCUCACAAACAAACAAUUUAAACCCACUCCCACCCUAAUUCCCCACCAUUUCUCCAACAUGCUAGGGUUCUUCCCACCAAUUAUCCACCGUCUCGCCCCAAAACUAAAUCUAUUCCUAGGUCAAACCAUCGCAAGCCAGACAAUCGACCAAACUUGAUUAGAAAAAUCAGGCCCCAAAGCUCUCAUCAACCUAAAUUUGCCUUUAAUCACAACAACAAGUAACAUUCAACAAGGCCUAAUUAAAACCUACCUGGGCCUAUUCCUCCUAACUCUCACCCUCGCCCUAUUAAUCACCUACUAAACUGCCCGAAGUGCCCCCCGACUCAACCCCCGAGUCAAUUCUAACACUACAAAAAGAGUGAGAAGUAGCACCCAUCCACUAAUAAUCAACAUCCAACCCCCAGAAGAAUACAUCAACGCCACUCCCCCUGCAUCACCACGAAAUACAGAAAACUCGCCCAACUCGUCAACCGACACCCAUGAAGACUCAUAUCAAACCCCUCCAAACACCACAAAAGCUAAUACCACACCCACUAUGUACACGACCAUAUGCACUACAACAGGCCAACUCCCUCAAGCCUCAGGAUAUGGCUCAGCAGCCAAAGCUGCUGAAUAUGCAAAUACAACUAACAUCCCUCCUAGAUAAAUCAAAAACAACACCAACGACAAAAAAGGACCCCAUGUCCAACUAAAACCCCACACCCCAUACCUGCAACAACUACUAACCCCAAAGCAGCAAAGUAUGGAGAAGGGUUGGACGCAACCGCAACCAAUCCUAAGACAAAACAAAAUAAAAUUAAGUACAUAAUAAAACACAUAAUUCCUGCCAGGACUCUAACCAAGACUUAUGGUCUGAAACACCAUCGUUAUUUUUUAACUACAAGAACCUUCAUGGCCAACCUACGAAAGACCCAUCCCCUUUUUAAAAUUGCAAACGAUGCACUAGUUGAUCUUCCCACCCCCGUCAAUAUCUCAGCAUGAUGAAAUUUCGGCUCACUAUUAGGCCUAUGCCUUAUCUCCCAAAUCCUAACAGGCCUAUUCCUAGCCAUACACUACACUUCAGAUAUCGCAACAGCCUUUACAUCCGUGACACAUAUUUGUCGCGACGUCAACUAUGGAUGACUUAUUCGGAAUAUACAUGCUAAUGGCGCAUCUUUCUUCUUCAUCUGCAUCUACCUUCACAUUGGUCGGGGUCUGUACUACGGCUCCUAUCUCUACAAAGAAACUUGAAACAUUGGAGUCAUCCUCCUACUAUUAGUCAUAAUAACUGCCUUCGUUGGCUAUGUUCUCCCCUGAGGACAAAUAUCAUUCUGAGGGGCUACCGUCAUCACAAAUCUACUUUCUGCAGUCCCCUAUGUAGGAAACACCCUGGUUCAAUGAAUUUGGGGCGGUUUCUCUGUUGAUAACGCCACCCUCACCCGUUUCUUUGCCUUCCACUUUCUACUUCCAUUCGUCAUUUUAGCUGCAACUAUCAUCCACCUUCUCUUCCUGCAUGAAACCGGCUCAAACAAUCCAACAGGUCUAAACUCUGAUGCAGACAAAAUCUCUUUCCACCCAUACUUCUCAUACAAAGACCUCUUAGGAUUUGCAAUCCUCCUCCUUGCACUCACCUGCCUAGCCCUAUUCUCACCUAACCUCUUGGGAGACCCAGACAACUUUACUCCUGCAAACCCUCUAGUCACCCCUCCUCACAUCAAGCCAGAAUGAUACUUUCUGUUCGCCUACGCUAUCCUCCGCUCAAUUCCCAAUAAACUAGGCGGGGUUCUAGCACUACUAUCCUCAAUUCUUGUCCUAAUAAUCGUCCCCUUCCUCCACACAUCCAAACAACGAAGCCUAACAUUCCGCCCUCUAACACAACUAUUAUUCUGGACCCUAGUUGCAGACGUACUCAUCUUAACUUGGAUUGGAGGUAUACCUGUUGAACACCCCUUCAUCAUCAUUGGGCAAGUUGCAUCACUUCUCUAUUUCUUACUGUUCCUUGUCCUACUCCCCCUAGCAGGAUGACUAGAAAACAAAGCCCUAGGAUGAUCAUGCAUUAGUAGCUCAAUGCCAGAGCGUCGGUCUUGUAAAUCGGCGGCCGGAGGUUUGAACCCUCCCUAUUGCUUCAAAAAAAGGAGAUUUUAACUCCCACCACUAACCCCCAAAGCUAGUAUUCUUACGUUAAACUAUUUUUUGAUAUAAUUAUAUAUACAUGUAUUCACACCAUGUAUUUAUGCUAACCAAUAAAUGAGUAUAUGGUGUAAAUGCAUAUAUAUAUGUAUUAAUCAACAUUUACCUGUAAUCAAAGGACAUAUGUGCAUUCAAUGGUACUCGUAAAUGUAAUGUACAGUAACCUAUAAUUAAUAUACUUUAAACAAUAAUAUUACAUAUUAAUCAUCAGCGAUAAUAGAGCGUAGUGAGAGAUCACCAAUUAGUAGGUAUUCAGAGUGUUGACGGUUCUUGAUAGUCAAGGACAAACACAGCGUGGGGGUUACACAAAUUGAACUAUUACUGGCAUUUGGUUCCUACCUCAGGUGCAUGGAUAAGAAAGAAUUCCACUGACGUUCCUUCAUAAAUGGCAUAAGUUAAUGGUGGAUAACAUGAAUCCUCGUUACCCACCAAGCCGAGCAUUCUUUCCAGCGGGUAAGGGGUUUAUAAUUUUUUUCUUAUCAUCUCAUUUGACAUCUCAGAGUGCACGCACAGAGCAUAUAAUAUGGAAGUAGAACAUAAUUUUUUUAUGGAAGAGAAUAGUCAGUAUGAAUGGUGAAAAGGCUUGACCUGAAGAAUUACAUAAUAGGAUAUCACGAGCAUAACGUGCUAACCUUCUACUCCCAACAUAUCUAUUAAUCCACCCCGUUUUUAUUACGCAACCCCCCCCCCCCCCCCCCCAAAAACAGAGGAAGCCCCACAAUAACUUGAUUUUAAUCUAAAAAUGCACUAUUUACACUAUUUAAAAUAUUUUAAGAAGCUGAUGUAGCUUAACCAAAGCAUGACACUGAAGAUGUUAGGAUGGACCCUAGAAAGUCCCAUAAGCACAAAGGCUUGGUCCUAGCUUUAUUGUCAGCUCUAGCUAGAUUUACACAUGCAAGUAUCCGCCCCCCCGUGAGAAUGCCCAUGAUUCCCUGUUUGGGAACAAGGAGCCGGUAUCAGGCACACCUAACCCACUGAGCCCACGACACCUUGCUUUGCCACACCCUCAAGGGAACCCAGCAGUGAUAAACUUUAAGCCAUAAGUGAAAACUUGACUUAGUUAAAGCUAAUAGGGCCGGUCAAAUUCGUGCCAGCCACCGCGGUUAUACGAGAGGCCCAAGCUGACAAACCACGGCGUAAAGAGUGGUUAAGGAAACUUGAAACUAAAGUCGAACGCUCUCUUCGAGCUGUUAUACGCGUACGAGACUACGAAGCUCAGCCACGAAAGUGACUUUACAACCCCUGACCCCACGAAAGCUAAGAAACAAACUGGGAUUAGAUACCCCACUAUGCUUAGCCGUAAACAUUGAUUUUACAUUACACUUAAUAUUCCGCCCGGGAAUUACAAGCACUAGCUUAAAACCCAAAGGACUUGGCGGUGCUUAAUAUCCACCUAGAGGAGCCUGUUCUAUAACCGAUAAUCCCCGCUUAACCUCACCCCCUCUUGCCCUUACCGCCUAUAUACCACCGUCGUAAGCCUACCCUGUGAAGGCCCAAUAGUAUGCAAAACUAGUAUAGCCCCGAACGUCAGGUCAAGGUGUAGUACAUGAGAGGAGAAAGAAAUGGGCUACAUUCAUCAAUUCUAGUGAACACGAAUGAUGCACUGAAAACCUAUGCAGCUGAAGGAGGAUUUAGUAGUAAGAGAGAAACAGAGUGUCUCCCUGAAACCGGCUCUUAAGCGCGCACACACCGCCCGUCACCCUCCCCAUAGCACCCGGCUAAAACAUAAAUAAAGCACAAACGAACGCUAUUUUACGGAGAGGAAAGUCGUAACAUGGUAAGCAUACCGGAAGGUGUGCUUGGCUAAAUCAGAGUGUAGCUAAGACAGAUAAAGCAUCUCCCUUACACUGAGAAGUCACUUGUGCAAAUCAAGUCACCCUGACGCCCAUCAGCUAGCCCCACCUAUAAAAACAACAUACCACCAUAAAUAACCCCAAAACCACGCACUCCCCUAAAACAAAUCAUUUUCCAUCACCUAAGUAUGGGCGACAGAAAAGGACAUCCAUGGAGCUAUAGAAAAAGUACCGUAAGGGAACGCUGAAAUAGAGAUGAAACAGCCCAGUAAAGCCCUAAAAAGCAGAGAUUAAACCUCGUACCUUUUGCAUCAUGACUUAGCUAGCACCCCCAAGCAAAGAGCAUCUUUAGUUUGGCACCCCGAAACUAGUGUGAGCUACUCCAAGACAGCCUAUUCAAUAGGGCAAACCCGUCUCUGUGGCAAAAGAGUGGGAAGAGCUUUGAGUAGAGGUGACAGACCUACCGAACCUAGUUAUAGCUGGUUGCCUGAGAACUGGAUAGAAGUUCAGCCUCCCGGCUUCUCCAUUCAUAUACUAUUCCAAUAUGACUGCCCCCAGAUCUAAAAGAAACCCGCGAGAGUUAUUCUAAGGAGGUACAGCUCCUUUGAACCAAAAUACAAUUUUAUAAGGAGGGUAAAGAUCAUAAUCUUAACCAAGGCAGAAUGUCCUAGUGGGCCUAAAAGCAGCCACCCCUUUCAGAAAGCGUUAAAGCUCAGACAUACCUCUCCGCCCUAUAUCCCGAUAAUCUAAUCUUAACCCCCUAGCCCUAUCAGGCCGUUCCAUGCAAACAUGGAAGCGAUAAUGCUAACAUGAGUAACAAGAGGAUUUAUUUUAUCUGCGCUCCUCUCCCAGCACACGUGUACAUCGAAACGGACCAACCACCGAAACUUAACGGCCCCAAACAAAGAGGGAAUUGAAAGACAAACAUGAUAUACUAGAAAAUCAUCCAGCACGCAACCGUUAACCCCACACUGGUGUGCCAUUAAAGGAAAGACUAAAAGAAAAAGAAGGAACUCGGCAAACACAAGCCUCGCCUGUUUACCAAAAACAUCGCCUCUUGUACAACCACAUUAAAACAAAUAAGAGGUCCCGCCUGCCCAGUGACAACUGGUUCAACGGCCGCGGUAUUUUGACCGUGCAAAGGUAGCGUAAUCACUUGUCUUUUAAAUGAAGACCUGUAUGAAUGGCAUCACGAGGGCUUAGCUGUCUCCUUUUUCUAAGUCAGUGAAAUUGAUCUCCCCGUGCAGAAGCGGGGAUAAAAACAUAAGACGAGAAGACCCUAUGGAGCUUUAGACACCAGAAUAGCACAUGUUAAGACACCCUGAAUAAAGAACUGAACUUAAUGGCCCCCCUAUUCCAAUGUCUUCGGUUGGGGCGACCAUGAGGAACAAAAACCCCUCAUGUGGAAUGGGAGUACCACAACCCACACACUAUUUUUCCUAUACUCCUACAACCAAGAGCUACAACUCAAACUGACAGAAAUUCUGACCAACAAUGAUCCGGCAAUGCUGAUCAACGGACCAAGUUACCCUAGGGAUAACAGCGCAAUCCCCUUUUAGAGCCCAUAUCGACAAGGGGGUUUACGACCUCGAUGUUGGAUCAGGACAUCCUAAUGGUGCAGCCGCUAUUAAGGGUUCGUUUGUUCAACGAUUAAAGUCCUACGUGAUCUGAGUUCAGACCGGAGCAAUCCAGGUCAGUUUCUAUCUAUGCCCAUAAUUCUUUUUUAGUACGAAAGGACCGAAAAGAAAAGGCCCAUGCUAUAAGUAUGCCUUAUCCCUACCUAAUGAAAUCAACUAAACUAGGUAAAGGAACAUGCCCUCAACCCCGUCAAAGAGAAUGACAU